rnacentral:rRNA from 1 species
GACGAACGCUGGCGGCGUGCCUAAUACAUGCAAGUAGAACGCAGUUGCGAACGGGUGAGUAACGCGUAGGUAACUGCCUGGUAGCGGGGGAUAACUAUUGGAAACGAUAGCUAAUACCGCAUACUAACAGAUGGACCUGCGUUGUAUUAGCUAGUUGGUGAGGUAACGGCUCACCAAGGCAACGAUACAUAGCCGACCUGGGAGGGUGAACGGCCACACUGGGACUGAGACACGGCCCAGACUCCUACGGGAGGCAGCAGUAGGGAAUCUUCGGCAAUGGGGGGAACCCUGACCGAGCAACGCCGCGUGAGUGAAGAAGGUUUUCGGAUCGUAAAACACUGUUGUUAGAGAAGCGGUAUCUAACCAGAAAGCCACGGCUAACUACGUGCCAGCAGCCGCGGUAAUAC